rnacentral:rRNA from 1 species
AUUGAACGCUGGCGGCAGGCUUAACACAUGCAAGUCGAGCGAGCGGCGGACGGGUGAGUAAUGUCUGGGAAACUGCCUGAUGGAGGGGGAUAACUACUGGAAACGGUAGCUAAUACCGCAUACCAUCAGAUGUGCCCAGAUGGGAUUAGCUAGUAGGUGGGGUAAUGGCUCACCUAGGCGACGAUCCCUAGCUGGUCUGAGAGGAUGACCAGCCCACCCGGAAUGUAGACACGGUCCCGACUCCGUCGGGAGGCCGCAGGUGGGAAUAUUGUCCAAUGGGCGCCAGCCCGAAGGCUCCCUGCCGCGUGUGUGAAGAAGGCCUUUGGGGUGUAAAGCACUUUCAGCGAGGAGGCGUUACUCGCAGAAGAAGCACCGGCUAACUCCGUGCCAGCAGCCGCGGUAAUUC